GACGAACCGAGCGAACGUUGUUCGGAAUCACUGGGCUUAGAGGGCGCGUAGGCGGGUGCUCAAGUCCGUGGUGAAAUCCUCCGGCUCAACCGGAGAACUGCCUCGGAUACUGGGCGUCUCGAGUGUGGUAGGGGUAUGCGGAACUAUCGGUGGAGCGGUGAAAUGCGUUGAUAUCGAUAGGAACUCCGGUGGCGAAGGCGGCAUACUGGACCACCACUGACGCUGAUGCGCGAAAGCCAGGGGAGCAAACGGG
rnacentral:rRNA from 1 species